rnacentral:rRNA from 1 species
UUAACUCCAUAUCGGCGGUGGAAACUGAUGAACUAGAGGGUGGUAGGGGUCACGGGAAUUCCCAGUGUAGCGGUGAAAUGCGUAGAUAUUGGGAAGAACACCAGCGGCGAAAGCGCGUGACUGGGCCAUUACUGACACUCAUGGACGAAAGCUAGGGGAGCGAAAGGGAUUAGAUACCCCUGUAGUCCUAGCCGUAAACGAUGGACACUAGGUGUUGCCCGAUCGACCCGGGCAGUGCCGUAGCUAACGCGUUAAGUGUCCCGCCUGGGGAGUACGCACGCAAGUGUGAAACUCAAAGGAAUUGACGGGGGCCCGCACAAGCGGUGGAGUAUGUGGUUUAAUUCGAUGCAACGCGAAGAACCUUACCAGGGCUUGACAUGUCGCGAAUCCCCUUGAAAGGGGGGAGUGCCUUCGGGAGCGCGAGCACAGGUGGUGCAUGGCUGUCGUCAGCUCGUGUCGUGAGAUGUUGGGUUAAGUCCCGCAACGAGCGCAACCCACGUUUCUAGUUGCCAGCAUUCAGUUGGGCACUUUAGAGAGACUGCCGGUGACAAACCGGAGGAAGGUGUGGAUGACGUCAAGUCAGCAUGCCCCUUACGUCCUGGGCUACACACGUACUACAAUGCUUCGGACAGAGGGUUGCCAGCCCGCGAGGGUGCGCUAAUCCCGUAAACCGAGGCUCAGUUCAGAUUGCAGGCUGCAACUCGCCUGCAUGAAGGCGGAAUCGCUAGUAAUCGCCGGUCAGCAUACGGCGGUGAAUACGUUCCCGGGCCUUGUACACACCGCCCGUCACACCAUGGGAGUUGGCCACGCCCG